GUCCAUUGAAGUAUGAUUUUUUAAAGCUGAAUAAACAUACGUUAAGUGUUACAAUAUCAAUUGUCGUUAACUUUUUUGUAUCUUAUUUAUAAUUCUGACUGUCGUUGCACUGAUAUUUUUCACUGAUAGAUCACUGGUCUUUAUUAUAUCAAUGCUAUUUAUGCGCACAAUUGAAACGAUUAAUAAUAUAAAAAUUAAAACUAUAUCUAUUUUCUAGUGCGAAAAGAAAUUAACAGGCUAACUUGUGAAGUAUAUGUCAAAGAAUGUUGUAGGCUUGAGUUCUCAUGCCAUUUGCGCAAUAAGAAAACCAACAAGCAAAAACAGGUUUUCCAAAACUGGUCUUCGAGCACUGCUCUUCACCAAGGUGGGUUCGGCUUUGACCCAGUUGCGUUUCUUAUUAAACUCCUCCACACUCCAUGUAAAGCUUUUACAGCUUGUCAUUCCGUUCGGCGGCGGAUUC
rnacentral:lncRNA from 1 species